rnacentral:rRNA from 1 species
GCCGAGCGGUAGAAGAUCUUCGGAUCUUUGAGAGCGGCGCACGGGUGCGGAACACGUGUGCAACCUGCCUUUAUCAGGGGGAUAGCCUUUCGAAAGGAAGAUUAAUACCCCAUAAUAUAAUGACUGGCAUCAGUUAUUAUUGAAAACUCCGGUGGAUAGAGAUGGGCACGCGCAAGAUUAGAUAGUUGGUGAGGUAACGGCUCACCAAGUCUGCGAUCUUUAGGGGGCCUGAGAGGGUGAUCCCCCACACUGGUACUGAGACACGGACCAGACUCCUACGGGAGGCAGCAGUGAGGAAUAUUGGACAAUGGGUGAGAGCCUGAUCCAGCCAUCCCGCGUGAAGGACGACGGCCCUAUGGGUUGUAAACUUCUUUUGUAUAGGGAUAAACCUACUCUCGUGAGAGUAGCUGAAGGUACUAUACGAAUAAGCACCGGCUAACUCCGUGCCAGCAGCCGCGGUAAUACGGAGGGUGCAAGCGUUAUCCGGAUUUAUUGGGUUUAAAGGGUCCGUAGGCUGAUUUGUAAGUCAGUGGUGAAAUCUCACAGCUCAACUGUGAAACUGCCAUUGAUACUGCAAGUCUUGAGUGUUGUUGAAGUAGCUGGAAUAAGUAGUGUAGCGGUGAAAUGCAUAGAUAUUACUUAGAACACCAAUUGCGAAGGCAGGUUACUAAGCAACAACUGACGCUGAUGGACGAAAGCGUGGGGAGCGAACAGGAUUAGAUACCCUGGUAGUCCACGCCGUAAACGAUGCUAACUCGUUUUUGGGUUUUCGGAUUCAGAGACUAAGCGAAAGUGAUAAGUUAGCCACCUGGGGAGUACGUUCGCAAGAAUGAAACUCAAAGGAAUUGACGGGGGCCCGCACAAGCGGUGGAUUAUGUGGUUUAAUUCGAUGAUACGCGAGGAACCUUACCAAGGCUUAAAUGGGAAUUGACAGGUUUAGAAAUAGACUUUUCUUCGGACAAUUUUCAAGGUGCUGCAUGGGUUGUCGUCAGCUCGUGCCGUGAGGUGUUAGGUUAAGUCCUGCAA